UACGAAGGGGGCUAGCGUUGCUCGGAAUCACUGGGCGUAAAGCGCACGUAGGCGGCUUUCUAAGUCAGGGGUGAAAUCCUGGAGCUCAACUCCAGAACUGCCUUUGAUACUGGGGAGCUCGAGUCCGGAAGAGGUGAGUGGAACUGCGAGUGUAGAGGUGAAAUUCGUAGAUAUUCGCAAGAACACCAGUGGCGAAGGCGGCUCACUGGCCCGGUACUGACGCUGAGGUGCGAAAGCGUGGGGAGCAAACAAG
rnacentral:rRNA from 1 species